UGUUCUGUGGCUUAGUUGGUUAAAGCGCCGGUCUAGCGAAUACGGAGUCGUGGGUUCGAAUCCCACCAGAUCUA
rnacentral:tRNA from 1 species